rnacentral:lncRNA from 1 species
CGCGGAACUAUCGCAGACUUUUUUGUGGGUGGAUGCUGUGGAAUUGCUGCAUGGCUGCCGUUACAUUUCCGUCGAGUGGGCGAACCACGGGGUGUCGCUACAACUCAGCCCCCCAAGCACCUUCACAACUUUGCAGGACAGUUCCAGGGCAAAUUUUUAGGUCCCUCCCUCAGCUCUUCUCGUGCCUGCCCCGACGACGGCCGAAUGCGGUAACACAGUAACUGCGCGUCAGCUAUAGGCCGGCACUUGGCCAAAGCGGCGCCGUAUUACUACCAGGAACCAGCGAGUCUCGGGUUAGUAAGGAGCACGCCGAUUAUCGCUGAAGGACAUCAACUCGCAAGUUGUUUGCAUGUUCUUCCCGUAAGCCACAUCGUAUGCGCAACCCGUAUCCUUGGCUCCCAUGCGCUCCCCCAGAUUUACUGCGUGGCGCACGCAUGGUCAGUAGAGUUGCGUAGUUGUUUGCCGUGGUUUUCCAGAACUCGGCACGUAAAAGUGUUUCUUGGGCCAGAGCUCCUAACUUAGCUGUGCCACACAAACAGUCCAGGUGCACGAGCGGAUGGUUUCUCAAUCUCAGGAAUACGGCAGGGAGUGCCGGUUUGUGUACACGCACUACUUGAGGAAGUUUUCCCUCGCCUGAUCACCUGUUCAGGCAAGUAGUUGUUGGCAAUUCGUGGGACUGCUCUUUUGCUUCUCUUGACAUACGCAUAAGCUACCUCGGAUGCAUGUCUUUUACCGUGUUUGUCCAGAGAGAGGAAUAUCAAUUCCGAGCCCGUGGGGAAAAAUCUGCUGGGGCCACAGGGCGCGACUUUCAGUGUUCACUUCAGUGAUCUAGGCAGUUCAGGAAUGAAGAAGGCAG